rnacentral:rRNA from 1 species
AACGAACGCUGGCGGCAGGCCUAACACAUGCAAGUCAAACGGCCCUUCGGGGCAGUGGCGCACGGGUGCGUAACGCGUGGGAAUGUACACCUUGGUAAGGAAUAACUGCUGGAAACGGUAGCUAAUACCUUAUAAUGACUCCGGUCCAAAGAUUUAUCGCCAAGGGAUCAGCCCGCGUCAGAUUAGAUAGUUGGUGGGGUAAUGGCCUACCAAGUCUACGAUCUGUAGGGGGUCUGAGAGGAUGAUCCCCCACACUGGUACUGAGACACGGACCAGACUCCUACGGGAGGGCAGCAGUGAGGAAUAUUAGACAAUGGGCGGAAAGACCUGAUCUAGCCAUGCCGCGUGAGUGAAGAAGGCCUUAGGGUUGGUAAAGACUCUUUCUAAUAGUGAAGAUAAUGACGGUAGCUAUAGAAGAAGCUCCGGCUAAAUUACGUGCCAGCAGCCGCGGUAAAGUACGUACGAU